GUACUGGAUGCAGUGCGUUAAGUGUGGGGUAGCGGGUGGCUUGGGCUUCCCAGGUAUCACAGUGGUAAAGAAUCUGCCUGCAAUGCAAGAGACACAGGAGAUGCGAGUUUGAUCCCUGGUUUGGGAGGAUCCCUUGGAGAAUGAAAUGCCAACCGACUCCAGUAUUCUUGCCUGGAAAAUCCAUGGGCAGAGGAGCCUGGUGGGGUAUAGUCCAUGGGGUUGCAAAGAGUUGAACACAACUGAGCACGGCACAGAGAGCAGGUGGCUCUUGAAAGUGCUCGUGUGGGUAGGUUGCUGUGGCGAGGUGAUGGGAAUUGAGGGCAGACCCUUUGCUAGAAGGAAGAAGUGUGAGCACUGGGGUCAUAAUACUGAUUUGUGGUUCUCAGUGAUUUCAUUUGUUACUGGCCCUUUUCAGCUGGGUCCCAAUAAGGGUCCUUCUACCAGGUGUCAGUGCAGCCAGUAGAAUGAGACCCAGUUUGGCUCAGAAGUUUUGUUGAUUGGAGAACGGAGAGGUGUGAGCCAGGCUCUAGAGCACAGGUUCUUCCCAUUAAGUGAGGCUGCAUAGGGAUCUCAUCCGAGGGGAGCGGGCUGAGUUCUCGAAGGGCUGGCACAGCUGUGCUGCUCAUGGUCGCAGAAGCCAGGGCCAGAGGCAGCGUCUCUGCACACAGCCCCCUGCCGGCAUCUUGGACUGUGUCAUGCCCAGUGCUUUUGCACAUGGCCUGCUGAGCUGAGGCACUGCAGCCAUUUCCUACCCGGAGCUCUGGUCUGAAGAGCCCACUGCAAGGCCUCUACACUCAACCCUCUUUGAGCAAGUGAAACUAGACAAAGAACAAAGGAAACCCAGUUUAUGGAUGCGAAAGAAAGGCUUGGAGCUGGCACAGAGAGUAAAUGCUCGAAGAGGAGUCAACUCAGGGAUGUCUGUCUUGGAUGUCCGUGUUGCCUACCACGGUCUGCAGGCCAACUAGGGAGAAGGAACUUAAAGCAGAGCUGGUCUGGAGUGACUAUUCGCCCCCGGGGGACAGCUGUUUUUUGAAAUCUCCCACCCACAUCAUUGGCAUCUUCUGAGGGGAUUGGAAUGCAAAAGUAGGAAGUCAAGAAAUACCUGGAGUAACAGGCAAAUUUGGCUUUGAAUAACAGAAUGAAGUAGGGCAAAGGCUAAUAGAGUUUUGCCAAGAGAAUGCACUGGUCAUAGCAAACAUCCUCUUCCAACAACACAAGAGAAGACUCUAUACAUCAACAUCGUGGGAUGGUCAAUACUGAAAUCAGAUUGAUUAUAUUCUUUGCCAAAUAUGGAGAAACUCUAUACAGUCAGCAAAACAAGACCAGGAGCUGACUGUGGCACAAAUCAUGAACUCCUUAUGCCAAAUUCAGACUUAAAUUGAAGAAAGUAGGGAAAUCCACUAGACCACUCAGGUGUGACCUAAAUCAAAUCCCUUAUGAUUUGUGGAAAUAGAUUCAAGGGAUUAGAUCUGAUAGACAGAGUGCCUGAAGAACUAUGGAUGGAGGUUCAUGACAUCGUACAGGAGGCAGUGGUUAAGACCAUCCCCAAGAAAAAGAAAUGCAAAAAGGCAAAAUGGUUGUCUGAGGAGGCCUUACAAAUAGCUGUGAAAAGAAGAGAAGCAAAAAGCAAAGGAUAAAAGGAAAGAUAUAUCCAUUGGAAUACAGAGUUCCAAAGAAAAGCAAGGAGAGAUAAGAAAGCCUUCCUCAGCAAUCAGUGCAAAGAAAUAGAGGAAAACAAUAGAAUGGGAAAGACUAGAGAUCUCUUCAAGAAAAUUAGAGAUACCAAGGGAACAUUUCAUGCAAAGAUGGGCACAAUAAAGGACAGAAAUGGUAUGGACCUAACAGAAGCAGAAGAUAUUAAGAAGAGGUGGCAAGAAUACACAGAAGAACUGUACAAAAAAGAUCUUCAUGACCCAGAUAACCACAAUGGUAUGAUCACUCACCUGGAGCCAGACAUCCUGGAAUGUGAAGUCAAGUGGGCCUUUGGAAGCAUCAUUACAAACAAAGCUAGUGGAGGUGAUGGAAUUCCAGGUGAGCUAUUUCAAAUUCUAAAAUAUGAUGCUGUGAAAGUGCUGCAUUCAAUAUGCCAGCAAUUUUGGAAAGCUC
ensembl:lncRNA